UUCCAUACCGUGGAAGCUUUGUGCUUUCAUCCUGUGCAACAAAUCUUGCUGCCGCUCACUCUUUGGGUCCGCACUGCCUUUAUGAGCAGUAACACUCACCGCGAAGGUCUGCGGCUUCACUUCUGAAGCCAGCGAGACCACAAACACCCCGGGAGGAACGAACAACUCUAGACGCGCCGCCUUAAGAGCUGUAACACUCACCGCGAAGGUCUGCAGCUUCACUCCUGAGCCAGCGAGACCACGAACCCACCAGAAGGAAGAAACUCUGAACACAUCCAAACAUCAGAAGGAACAAACUCCGGACACGCCGCCUUUAAGAACUGUAACACUCGCCGCAAGGGUCCGCGGCUUCUUUCUUGAAGUCAGUGAGACCAAGAACCCACCAGUUCCGGACACAGAGGAAAGUUUAGAAGAAAUCCCCUUCCACCCCUGCCCCCGGUGCCAAACUUGGAAGAAUGACCUCAUGGAUGGAAGUUUAUGGAGAAGUAAAUUAUCCAAAGUACAUGGAAGAAUCCUCAAGCCUGCAAAUACUAUGACAUAAGUGUCCAGUGCAGCCAAAGGCCAUUGCUCUUGAAAUUUCACCUAUCGCCUCAGACAAGCAAGCAAGGAAUGAAUAGCUAGGACUGUGUUGUGUGUUUCCUGUGAGGCCACAUCUCAGUUUAGGUUCUUGAGAUGAGUAUCUAGAUGCAGGUAAUUUAUCUGGGAGAUGAUCCCAGGAAACAGGGUUGAGGCAGGGGUACAACGAGAGGU